GUGAGGAAUAUUGGUCAAUGGGCGCGAGCCUGAACCAGCCAAGUAGCGUGCAGGACGACGGCCCUAUGGGUUGUAAACUGCUUUUAUGCGGGGAUAAAGUGCGGCACGUGUGCCGUUUUGUAGGUACCGCAUGAAUAAGGACCGGCUAAUUCCGUGCCAGCAGCCGCGGUAAUACGGAAGGUCCGGGCGUUAUCCGGAUUUAUUGGGUUUAAAGGGAGCGCAGGCGGCCUUUUAAGCGUGACGUGAAAUGUAGGCGCUCAACGUCUGAAUUGCGUCGCGAACUGUUAGGCUUGAGUAGACGGAAUGUCGGCGGAAUUCGUGGUGUAGCGGUGAAAUGCUUAGAUAUCACGAAGAACUCCGAUUGCGAAGGCAGCUGACAGCAGUUUUACUGACGCUCAUGCUCGAAAGUGCGGGUAUCGAACAGG
rnacentral:rRNA from 1 species